rnacentral:rRNA from 1 species
GUGAAUCAUCGAGUCUUUGAACGCACCUUGCACCCUUUGGUAAUCCGAAGGGUACACCCGUCUGAGUGUCAUUGUAACCUCACUCCACCAGCUUCUUGUUGAUGGAUGUGGACCUGGACUCUGUUGUGUUACUGCAACUGGUCUGAAAUGCAUGAGUGCAUCCUGCUGUUGCAGCGUUUUCAGUGUGAUAAGCAUCUUCACUGGAUCAAGUUCCCUUCGGACACGCGGGCAUUGUGGGCUCUGUGCUGGCAAACCGUCUUUGGACAAGCUUGACAAUUUGACCUCAGAUCGGGUGGGACUACCCGCUGAACUUAAGCAUAUCAAUAAGCGGAGG